CCUACGGGAGGCAGCAGUGGGGGAUAUUGCACAAUGGGGGAAACCCUGAUGCAGCAACGCCGCGUGAGUGAAGAAGUAUUUCGGUAUGUAAAGCUCUAUCAGCAGGGAAGAGAAUGACGGUACCUGACUAAGAAUCCCCGGCUAACUACGUGCCAGCAGCCGCGGUAAUACGUAGGGGGCGAGCGUUAUCCGGAUUUACUGGGUGUAAAGGGAGCGUAGACGGCUGGUCAAGUCUGAAGUGAAAGCCCGGGGCUUAACCCCGGAACUGCUUUGGAAACUGGGCAGCUAGAGUGCAGGAGAGGUAAGCGGAAGUCGUAGUGUAGCGGUGAAAUGCGUAGAUAUCAGGAGGAACACCAGUGGCGAAGGCGGCUUACUGGACAGUAACUGACGUUGAGGCUCGAAAGCGUGGGGAGCAAACAGGAUUAGAUACCCUGGUAGUC
rnacentral:rRNA from 1 species